rnacentral:rRNA from 1 species
CAGGAUUCCCCUAGUACGGGCGACGGAAGCGGGAAAAGCCCAGACUGGUAAUCUCUGCUCGCAAGGGCAGCGAAUUGUAAUCUGAAGGUUGUUGGCCUACCGGGGAGGGACGCAGAAGUGUUCUCGAGCGGACCGCCAAAGAGGGUGAUAGCCCCGUCUGUGGUGUCGCUCCCUACCGGGCCAGCUGCCAAAGAGUCGUGUACUUUGAUACUAGUGCACUAAGCGGGAGAUAGACUUCUUCUAAGGCUAAAUAUAUGUAGGAAACCGAUAGCGAACAAGUACUGUGAAGGAAAGAUGAAAAGCACUUUGAAAAGAGAGUUAAAAGACUUGAAAUCGUUGAGGCGGAAGCGGUAGAAAAGUAUUCUAUCUGAUGUCCGGCGAAGCGUGCCUAAGGGUCACCGGAAGCGCGUGGGUUGGACAGAAGGAUGAGCCAAGAUGGAGUCGAGAGGUGUCAAAUGCGAAGCGCGGCCGGCAGCUUGCUGCAGCCGCGUUUCAGCCGGGCGCCGCACGGCUUGAGGGGCCUUGUGCGAUCUUGGCAAAAUGGUUUUUACCGACUCGUCUUGAAACACGAACCAAGGAGUCUAAGACUAACGCGAGUGUGGUGGUGGAAAAACCAACACGCGAAAUGAAAGUAAAUGAUGCCAAGGCAACAGCAGCAUCGACCGACCAUGAUCCACUGGAGAAAGGUUUGAGUGAGAGCGUUAUUCUUAGGACCCGAAAGAUGGUGAAACUAU